UGAGAAACAAGAUUCACUGGACUGAUGAAACCAAGAUUGAACUAUUUUGCCUGAAUGCCAAGCGUUACGUCUGUGGGAAACGUGGCACCAUCUCUACGGUGAAGCAUGGUGGUGGCAGCAUCCUGCUGUUGGGAUGUUUUUCAGUGGCAAAGACUGGGAGACUAGUCAGCAUCGAGGGAAAGAUGAAUGGAGCACAGAGAGAUCAUUGAUGAAAACCUGCUCCAGAGUGCUCCGGACCUCAAACGGUCGAAGGUUCUACUUCCAACAGGACAAUGACCCUAAACACACAGCCAAGACAAGGUAGGAGUGGCUUCGGGACAAGACUCUGAAUGUCCUUGAGUGGCCCAGCCAGAGCCCGGACUUGAACCCCAUCAAACAUCUCUGGAGAAACCUCAAAAUAGCUGUGCAGCGACGCUCCCCAUCCAACCUGACAGAGCUUGUGAGGAUCUGCAGAGAAGAAUGGGACAUCAACAUCCACGCAACAUCAACUUUAGUGUGUUAAAUGUAUAUUUUUCUCAUCCAUCUACACAAAAUACCUCGUAAUGACAAAGAGAAAACAUGUUUAUAUCAAUUCAUGCACAUUUGUUUUUUUUAAAGUAAAUGCAGAAAUAUCUAAUUUACAUUAGUAUUUACACUCCAGAGUCAAUACAUGUUAGAAUCAUAUUUGUCAGCGAUUACAGCUGUGAGUCUUUCUGGGUAAGUCUAAGAGCUUUGCACACCUGGACUGUACAAUAUUUGCACAUUAUUCUUCAAAACAUUAUUCAAGCUCUGUUAAAUUGGUUCUUGAUCACUGCUAGACAGACAUUUUCAAGUCUUGCCAUAGAUUUUUUUCAAGCCGAUUUAAGUCAAAACUGUACCUCGGCCACUCAGGAACAUUCCAUGUCUUCUUGGUAAGCAACUCCAGUGUAUAUUUGGCCUUGUGUUUUAGGUUAUUGUCCUGCUGAAAGGUGAAUUUGUCUCCCAGUGUCUGUUGGAAAGCAGACUGUAGCAGGUUUUCCUCUCGGAUUUUGCCAGUGUUUAGCUCUAUUCCGUUUAUUUUAUCCUGAAAUAACAUCCUAGUCCUUGCCCGUGACAAGCAUACCCAUAACAUGAUUCAGCCACCACCACGCUUGAAACGUGGAGAGUGGUACUCUGUCAAUUAGUUUAGUAUUGUGGAGUAACUACAAUGUUGUUGAUCCAUACUCGGUUUUCUACUAACACGGCCAAUUGUGUUAAAGACACGAUUGGCUUCAUGGUGUAAUCUCUGAGCAGUUUCCUUCCUCUCCAGCAACUGAGUUAGGAAGGACGCCUGUAUCUUUGUAGUGACUGGGUGUAUUGAUACACCAUCCAAAGUGUAAUUAAUAACUUCACCAUGCUCAAAGGGAUAUUCAAUGGCUGCUUUUCUUUUACCCAUCUACCAAUAGGUACCCUCUUCUUUGUGAGGCAUUGGAAAACCUCCCUGGUCUUUGUGGUUGAAUCUGUGUUUGAAAUUCACUGCGCGACUAAGGAACCUUAUGUAUGUAUGUGAAAUUGUAUGAGAAACACAAGCAUUUUGUUAGGUAUUACUGCUCUGUUGGACCUAGGAAGAUAAGCAUAUUGCUAGGUAUUACUGUACUUUUGGACCUAGGAACAUAAGCAUUUUUGCUGCCCUUGCGGCAACAUCUGCAAAUCUGUGUACGCAACCAAUAAACUUUGAUUUGCAAGGUGAAGGUUGAGUGAAUUCUCCAGAGGCUGGCACAGAUAGAUUCGAUUAUAAAGUUAUAAAUUGAAUUAUAAAACCUGUCAGUGGAACACACACAGACUACAGCUGCGGUUCAGAGACGGUAGUCACUGAACUUCCUGGAGUAAAUGUUCACAUGUGACGAUCCAAGAUGUCUUGGAGGAGAGAGAGGUGGGAGCACACAAUCAAUCACCUUUAAAGCACCAAAUCCUCCUUUUUAAAAAACACUUACACUUUUUACAUUUUAGUCAUUUAGCAGACGCUCUUAUCCAGAGCGACUUACAGUAGUGAACACAUACAUUUCAUACAUUUUUUUUCUCCGUACUGGUCCCCCGUGGGAAUCGAACCCACAACCCUGCGAACACCAUGCUCUACCAACUGAGCCACACGAGACUUCCUUUCUCUAUGUUACCUUCUGUUCUUUAAUCGUCGUCUAUCUACACCCAUUACCUUCUAUCCUUUAAUUCUCAUCCUCAUGUUCCGUCUCUCUCCUGUUACUCCACCUCAUCCACUCACUCACUCCUUUUAUAUAUUUUAUUGUUGCCUCUAAAUCAUUCCUUUCUCUCGUCCUGCUCUCCCUGUCUCUCUGUUCAUCAGUCUCCCCCUCUGUGGAUUCCCCUCUCCUCCGUCCAAUUUCUUAAUCUCUGCAUCCCCUAAUCCAUCCCCUCUCUCCCCCCUCAUCCUGUCCUCCUGCUGUCCCCAUCUGUCUAUUCAUCAGUCGAUACCGUUUUUUAUCCCCAUCUUCCGCUUCGCUCCGACCAUGUUUUCUCUGUACCUGCAUUCCCUCCUGUCCUGAGACGCCGACUCCCACAUCAGCCACCUGAAUCGUGCUGACAUCAUUAACCCCAUCACCUGAGAUUACUGAUGUAGAGGGAGGGAGAAGAAGGGAGGGGAGGUAGAGAGUGGAGGAGGAAGGAGAGAGAGAGGAAGAGAAGGAGGAAGGGGGAGGUGAGAGAGAAGGUGGGAGAGAGGGAGGAGGGUGAGCAUGAAAGCAGGGAUAGAAACAAACUCAGUAAGAGGUGCUAGUAGCUCUCAACCUCUCCUCUCCUCUCCUCUCAGUUAGAGGAGAGGAGAGGAGAGGAAUGACAAGAUUUGUGGGGUGUGCUCAGGUUUUGGGUUUUAUCACUUAAUGGAGAUCAGGGUUUUUGCUGCAUAGAAAAGUAUUGGGUGGGUCACCUAACUGUUUUUUGGGCUGCCAGAUUCCAAACAGUAAAACAAAUUCAGUUUGAACUUAAACAACUAAAACCAGAUAUAAAGUAUAUAGAACAUAUCAUAGACCUAUAUCAGAUAUAAAGUAUAUAGAACAUAUCAUAGACCUAUAUCAGAUAUAAAGUAUAUAGAACAUAUCAUAGACCUAUAUCAGAUAUAAAGUAUAUAGAACAUAUCAUAGACCUAUAUCAGAUAUAAAGUAUAUAGAACAUAUCAUAGACCUAUAUCAGAUAUAAAGUAUAUAGAACAUAUCGUAGACCUAUAUCAGAUAUAAAGUAUAUAGAACAUAUCGUAGACCUAUAUCAGAUAUAAAGUAUAUAGAACAUAUCAUAGACCUAUAUCAGAUAUAAAGUAUUGUAACGAGGUGCGUACUGGCGGCAGAGAAGUCAGGUGCAGGAGAGCGAAAACUGAUUUGUCGUUUAAUAAACAUAAAACCACUGUAAACAGAACAAUCAAUGAAUGGGUCAAAUAAAAACCCGGUAUCCACCAGCAUAACGUACACAAGCACUACAAGAAACAAUUCCGGACAAGGACAUGGGGGGGAAACAGAGGGUUAAAUACACAACAUGUAAUUGAUGGAAUUGAAACCAGGUGUGAUGGAAGACAAGACAAAACAAAUGGAAAAUGAAAGGUGGCUGGCUAGACGUCGACCGCCGAGCGCCGCCCGAACUCACGCCGCCCGAACUCGCGCCGCCCGGGUUUCAUUACAUGUAUUGUUUUGUUGAGAUGAAACCAGAGAAAAUGCAUCAGUUCUGCAGGGGGCCCCUCUCCUUUUCUGUGUCUUCAGUCUACAUUGAAGCAGGCCUGAAAGCCCUUCAUAGUGUAGGCUAGUCCUGCAGACCAUCCUUUAGUCAGACCAGCCUGAAACCUGCUGUGUGUUUGUGUAUCCUCUCCUACUUGGCACAGAUACCACUCAUCUAUUUUAGAAGUCUACUUGAUGCUACUUGACUGUUUAGGGCCUGAGAAUAUUCUUGCCACUUUA